rnacentral:rRNA from 1 species
AUUGAACGCUGGCGGCAGGCCUAACACAUGCAAGUCGAACGAGUGGCGGACGGGUGAGUAAUGUCUGGGAAACUGCCUGAUGGAGGGGGAUCACUACUGGAAACGGUCGCUAAUACCGCAUACCAUCGGAUGUGCCCAGAUGGGAUUGGCGAGUAGGUGGGGUAAAGGCUCACCUAGGCGACGAUCCCGAGCUGGUCUGAGAGGCGGACCGUCCAACCUGGAAUGGAGACACGGUCCAGACUCCUACGGCAGGCGGAGGUGGGGAACAUUGCACAAUGGGCGCAAGCCUGAUGCAGCCAGGCCGCGUGUAUGAAGAAGGCCUGCGGGUUGUAAAGUACUUUCAGCGGGGAGGCGUUACCCGCAGAAGAAGCACCGGCUAACUCCGUGCCAGCAGCCGCGGUAAUAC